UUGACACAAAACAACUGGAGAGAUUAAAAUGAUUACACAUUGUGCCAGGUUUUUUACAGACACACUCAAAUCUAAAGUGAUUGAUCAUAAAGUUCCAAUUUAUCCUUAAAAAAAGGAAAAUAUGUUUUCCCAAGUCUUAUUUGCUAGUGGGAAGCAUGGCACUCUGCACUCUAAAUGAGGAGAGCAAAUGUGCUACAUUAGAGGUGGGGAAUAAAUAUUCCAACUCAGCCCAAAGUGUCUUUAUUUUGACUCAAAUGUGAGAUAUGCCGUUGCCAUGGUGACAUGGUGCCGGCUGCAGUCCUCUCUCUCCCCAGCUGUUGGGAGGUUUUGUCUGUGUGUGUGCGUGUGUGUUUGUGCAAGCCCAAGCGCGCACAUUGAAGCCCCGCUCUCGUGCUGUGUUCCCUUUUCAGCCGCCAGAAUAGAGUCUCAACUAAUCCGUGAAAGUUGCGGUGCUCUGAACCGCCAGCCAAGCCUUUUCCCACUGAAUUGAGGGCCGGGGGUCUGCACUGGGCUUUACACUUGAUUGGUCUUCGCCGUGGCAAGACUCCCCUCCCCGCUGGGUGUGGGCCCGUCCCCCUCGCUGUGCUGCUCGGGUCUAGGCUAAUCGGCUUCUCCCCGCCGUAAUUACCCACACCCGGCCUGGGCAUGCUGAAGCCACCAGUCGUCUCUGUCUUUUUCUUCAUCCCGGUCCUUCGCCACUACUGGCAUCAUGGGCUAUAGGAUGGCACUGAUGCCAGUGGUGGCCCAAGCCUGUGUAAAGGGGAUGGAGAGUGGACAAGAAGGUGGCCUUACAGCUGUCCUCUUCUACACACACAAUCCGAGGAUGAUUGGUUUAUUUGGCACAGCUCGUCAGGUAAUAGUUCAUCUCACAGAUGCGAAAGCAACUGGGUCAGAAUGCCCGGUAGAAUGCAAUUGGAGGAGUCUAUUUUCAUAGUGCCAGUCAGGGUAAUGCUUUAUUUUACAGUCCAUUUACACAUGUACAGGUACAUAUAAUAAUUGCAAUAACUCAGUAAAAAUGAGGUGCUAACCCUGAAACUAUCCCUAAAUUUAACUUUACAAAAAUUAUUACCUGUACCUUAUUUUACCUAUUAAUUUCUCAGUACAGAGAAAGUGCACGAACUGCAAAACAAACAGAAAACCCCAAUUAUUUGGAAUGAUUAUAGUAAAUGUAACAUUAGGUAACUUUACAUUGGUCUUCACCAAUCCACAUCUCUGGUACAGCAGUGGUAACAGCAAACACUGUGACUGAGAAUAUUCUUUGUGCCCCAGAUUUACAACAAGAUCAAACAGCUCCUCUGAGAAAGUCUUCAUUUUCAUUCAGCUGGAAAAUGAGUGAGCCAUAUCAAUAUUGAGGUGGCUCUCUUAAGAUGUACUGUCAUAUUUCUAGAGCGCUGUAAGGGCAAAAAAGAAGACAGUUCACACAGAUUACAGGAUCUAGAGCUCUUUUUGUGGGAAGCGAGGGACAGCAGAAGAUGUGGAGUGUUUAUUGGAGUCCCAUUUGCUACUAACAUCUUAUUAUGGAGAUUUUUUAGUCCCUCCAAAUCAGUCGGCAGUCACUCUCACAAAUCCUAAGACCCCCUCACUCAGUCAGAACAGAUCAAAAGAUAACUCACAUUUCAAAAUACGUAAGGGGGAGAGAAAAAAAGAAAGAAAGAAGAAAGGACAACAGAAAAAAAGAAGAGAGCCAGAAGGGGGCAUACUGCUCUCUCUUUACAUAGGCGAAUAAGGCGUUUUAAGCAUGCCAUGUGUGUCUCUUUCCCUCUUGCACCACCCAAAUUAACCCCCCCAACUCCCUCCUCCCCAAAAAUGAAAAACCCAUAAUGAAAAGCAGCCAUUGUUAUUUAUAAUUUUAUGAAUUUAAUUUUCAACAGCACAUCAUAAGCGACCUCAUAACGAGUCAGUAGUUAAAGGUCCAUUCAUUGGCAGGACCAAAUGAAAGGUCUGGAAUCUGGCUUCUAGGAAGUAUUGAGACCCCCUUGAAGCUAGAAUGAAAGGUGUAAGUUUAGCCUCUCAGCUGUGCGUCUCAAUCCAUAAUCCGGCCCCAAAACCCCAGCCGGGAGCAGCCUGACACUCCCAUGGCGUUCCUGACCAGUGAAGGCCUGGCCCAUACAGAUUUAUGGAGUCCAGCUCUGUGCCUUACUCUCCUAGUUGGACUGAGACUUUGAACCAGACUACAAGAAAUUGCACAAGAUUACGAAGAAAACAGAUAUCGGUGACUCCAUGCAUCAUAACGCACAAAUUAACCUGGAGGUGUAUAAAGCAGUGAAUAAGGUCAGAGUCGUCGCACAAACACAGAUGAAGCGCAUCACCUUUCGCCAGCAUGGCACAGGUAAGCCUGGCCCCGACCGAGCUGCUGGACCAGGGGUCAGGCUUGUGGCCCAGCAUGCAACUGGUCUCGGUCACAUCAGGUCCUUACACUCCAGAGAUGAGCCUGCAGACGGACGUUGUCUGAGACCUUUGAUGUGGGGCUGCGAGAGGUUCUGUUACUGUGCCUUUAAUUAGGUCCAGCAGCUUUCCCUUCCUGGACCAAAACUCCACUAUCUGCCUAAUCUCUUGCAGGUGGCUAUGACAAACAGACCAAAAUCAGCCAUCACUCUCAGGUGUGCGAUGUCCAGGGAGGAGCCAUCGCCACAUCAAGCUUUCCUCUGUUUGGCACAAACAAGUCUGAUGCACAGAGGCUGAGCUAACACAGCCCAGUUGCAGUGAGACAUGGUUAAGAUUCACAGUUCCAUCACUACGACCAGCAUGUUCCCAGCUUACAGCCAAGCGGGUGUGAAAUUAUGCUAAUAUAUGCUUCCAGUCUAUCAUCUUUUGGCAAAUUUGAUGGCCCAAUUUCUUAAACAUUAUCCUAUAAAGACAUAUUAGUAGGUUUGAGACUGGUAAUAUGUUGGGACGAACUUUCACAAGGCAAUAGGGCAUGCUAUUCUGACUAUUCGCACUUUGUUUCAGGAUUAGUAAAAGUUAAGCUCAUUCAGCUGUAUUUGUGGUAUAAUGUUGAUGACCAUAAAAUUGUCUCAGAAUUGUGACAAAAAUUUGGGUUAAAUUGAAGCAAUCAGGACAAACUGAGAAGAAUGAGGUUCUGACUGUCCAACGUUCAACAGUGUACUGUUGUCACAAAACAUGGACAUCAUGUUAACUAUUUUACAAAAACUGCUUAGCAAUGAUUCCAGUGUUAAGUUAUAUCCGAUUGGAUGACUUUAUUGCCAUGACAACAUAAUGCUUACACAGCUGUAAAAUGAUUUAAAUAGCAUUACAGCUCAAACAAGUUUUAACCUAAGAUUUCUACUAUGGCCUUUUAUAAUAUUAUAAUCUUUUCUAGCGUUUCUGAUUUUAAAUCCUCCAAAAAUUGGCUCUUUUCACAUCUAUUGUAAGCGCCUCAACAUAACCCCCUUUUUCAGAAAUAGAAGGACGACUUUAACAUUAUGCAACAACUUGAGAAUCUUAUGUAAAAAAAAAAAGUUGUGCACACAGCAAAAAUUCAUCUAACAUCCACCUGCAUUUGUCACACCCAAGCAUUUCUGCACUGAACUUGACUAAAGAUGAAAUAUGGGAGGCUGGUUAGGCAUACUAAUGCCAUGGAUUCAUUAAAUUAAUAGGGUCUUAUUCCCCUUACCACGGGUUCACAGAUGCCCUUUGAGUUUGCCGGGGCUAGAGGGUGCGCAGCUCUUUGAAAGCCCUUACCGGCAUAUCGAGCGCAUUUUAAUACAGUCCUUUUGAGGCUCCUGGUAGGAUGCAGAGUAACUCCUCGCCUUUAAGUUUCCGCACCUCUCCAUGUGAUCUCGUCAGAUAGCCACGGCGGUGUCAGAUCAGGCCCAGGCUGCACAUACACUAGGGGGAUGGGGAGGGCCAUGCAAGGCAAAUUAGACCAGCGGUGUUCGUUUUCUAAGUAGAGGCCAUUCUUUCCCGAAGACGUGAGUCCUUGAGAAGCAGGCGCUCAGGAGUGCUUUGAUGUGGAAAGGUGCCCAGUUUAAGGCUCUAAAACAGGAGGCUUUGGGAGAGAUUCAGUAGGAUUCCCUUCGGUGAUCAGCAGGGGAGGCUGCCCUCUCGUUGGUCAACUGUGCAUACUGUACAGAUUUAAUUACGCCGAGAAUGAAGUGCGUGGUCCAAAGAAAUCCUUGAUGCUGCCCGUUACCACUGUCGUACCACAUUCAAAACAAUCAAGCCACAAUAGGAGCCAAGCUUCAUGAUCACAGCCCGAAAAAAAUCAAAGAGGCUUCAGAAAACAACAACAAAAGGAAAUGCUAUGAAUGUUCAGGGAAAACAAUAUUGUUUUCCACAGCAGUUGUGCCUUUGCUAAUCUUUCCAUUUUUUUGAAUGCACAGAAGGACAAAAAGAAAAGGAUUUCAAUGACAGAACGACUCAGCUUGUUUCAGUCUAUGAGCUUCAAAAAUAUGUUUAAUUAACAGACACAGCAUAUAGGGAUAUGUCAUAUUUAUGGCUUUACCCUACAAUAAUAGAUGCUUUAACAAGACAUAAGAUUUUGAAAGACACUCCAAAGACAUACACAAGUGCAAGUCAUUCACAGAAAAGGACAGAGGGAUACUUCAGUCAAAAAUAAAAAUGUACUCACCCUCAAGUGAUUCCACAUAUUACUUUUUCUUUCCUGUUAAACACAAAAGAUGAUAUUUUGAAUGUUAAUGUACAGUUUUACCAGUAUUCCUCAAAAUCUAUCUAUAUACAAGUAAGUUUGGAACCAAAUGUAAAGGUUGGGAGCAUUUUUCCUUUUUGGGUGAAUUACCCCUUUUAAAAAAAGCGCUCUUCCUGCAACAGCUGGGUUCAAUAAACAUAUUUCAGAUAAUGCAAAUUAAAUCAAACAACCAAUACUACUGUAGCCUACUUGUUAACAUACAUCAUGCUGUCACUGCAAAUGGCGUCAUGUAUUUGUUUACAGACCAGCUAGCGUUUUUUGUUGUUUUUUUAUUUGAAGGGUUGACUUUUGAAGCAGUGGUGUUUGCAGUUGCAUAGAGACUGUGGCUUGGAUAGAAACCAGGCACACAUCCCACCGACCCCAGCGUUUUUAAAAGCCUUUUUUCCCUUUGGUCUUUGCACAGUGGUGUGGCAACUAUGGAUCACAGGUGGGAGUCUGCCUCUACCAAAUAAGCUUCCUCACUAAGGACGGGAUUUGGCGCUGUUAUUUUUCUAUUAGGGCUGAAUAAUGCUAAGCCUUUAGAGGCCAUCUUUCUGUUGCUAUGGUAGCCCAUAUUUCCAGCAGGGUUGCGACCCUCAGUGCAAAGCCAAAUAUCUUAGACCCUGCGAGGAUCACAAAUGUGGACUUACAGUUAUGGAAAACAGUUUAGAUAUGACCGAACAUUUUAAGACUGAGUGACAAGUUUAUUGGGCUCCUUUUUCUUCCCUUCUUUCUUUUUUAAUUCAUGUCAGUCGCGAAUUCAAAAAUCACUUGUCACAUCUCCAAGUGCACGUCUCCACGCCCAUCUGUUGGUUCAUACACCAGUUGGAUUUGAAAUUUCUCUCACAUUAGCCAAAAUGUUAACAGUGUUUUUGAGAGAAAAAAAUCCCGCUAAUUUACAGAUAUUUACAGAUGAGGCGCGUACUGUCCUAAUAUGAGCAGAAGCCACAUUUUAACCAAAUAAAUCUACUGGUAGUAAAAACAGAUAACAAAAAUCUUCAAAGACUUGCCUUGUAUGUUUGGGGGAGACGUGAACUAAACAGUCUUGCUUGCGUUACAACAGGAAAUGACCGACAAUGAUUUCAAAAUAGUAUAAGCCUGUUUCAGCGCCAGUAAUCAGUGUUCACUUUAUUCAUUUCAUUUUAUUUGAUUAGAAGUCGAGAUAACUGCAAGUCUAAAAGACAACAAACGUUUUUGGAAAGCAAAUUAUAUAUGUAUUUUCAGAUAGAUAAAAAUGGAAAACAAUAUAUAAGUAGAGUACAAUAACAUAAGGGAAAUAAAUGUGACCUGUGGAUUGUCCUGUUUUGUAAAAUUUAAUAAACGUUCUUGCAAAGUAGCAGACUUUUUUGUGUGAAAUGUAUUCAUUCACUCAACCAUAUUAGCUUACUUUAAGCUAAUAUAAAUUAGCUAGAAUAGGGUUAACAACUGACAAAUAUUAAGUCUGAUUCGGAUGGUGCACUGUAGUUUAACUUAAAUUAACUUGAUCUCAAAUCAAAUUCCAAAUACAAGAAAAAUUCCUAAAUUUGUUUUAUUACAAACACACUUCUCGAUUGAGGAGGAUGAUGGUGCUUAGUUAUUUUAAAAACAAUGAUUUCACAAUUUGUAAUUUCUAGUUGUUGGUGUUAAGUCACCUUUACUCUCCAUCAUAGUAUUUGAAGGCUUGUUUUUUCACAAAAUUAUAAACUUAAUUUUUAAAGCAGUCUUUAAUUUUUGUGUAGCUCUAAUCUUGUUAUUUCGUUUUGUGCUUUGUGUUGAUCUGUAAAGCUACUGCAUUUUGCUUACCUAUACUUUUUCCUUAACAAACGUGUUUGUUUACUUCCCGCUAAAACAAAAUAUCAAGUUCUAAAAAGAAAACAGAAAAGAAAAAUCAAUCACAGAGUUUGAUGUUGAGACUGACAGCACUGAGCUCGCAUCGCUCAACAGGAUAUAAAUGUUGAAGGAGCAGAAAUAUUUUUGGGGAGGCUAUCAGAUUGCGCCAUGGAAAAAGUUAGCAGAGAGAGUACUUGAUAGAACCUGUUGAACUUGACUCCGGGGGAACUAAAGGCUAAGCUAUUUCCAAAAAAACAAAAACAUUAGUGCAGCUUGGAACAUUACCUCGUCAAGUCCUUUAACUUUAGAUUGGAGAUUCACAGUUUUAAAAGAUCAAAUGCUCGCAUUUCUUACUAAGCAUGCCGAGGUGUCCUGCUGUUAAAGGGGCAUUUUGAGCUACCGCCUUACUAGGAUGCUCAGAUUUUGCUUUACCUUAAUCUCCUUUUCCUCACUAUGUCCUCAUACCGAUUUCGAGAUGCAGGACUGGCGCUUGAUCUACCUGUAUUACAUUAUUCCUAUUCGAGUCUUCGCCAGGUGACACUGAUGUGGUGUGUCGCCUACUGUUCUUGGAGUAUAUUUCAAACAGUGUGCAUAAAUGCGACAGAAUAUCGCGCCUGUUCUGCCACAGUGCGCUUAGGUGUUUUAAAGUCGCAGUUUGCCAUACUCGGGUCUGGUUGACAAAAAUGACAUACAAGCUUUAAGAGUUUCCGUUGUCAAUGUAGCGCGUAAAAGUUCUCUGGGAGUGUGAUUUCACCCGCUUUGAUGUACAGGCCCCCAGAGAGCAGGUUUCAGCAUUCUGCUCCACCUAACUCUUCCCUGCCUAGUGAGAAAACCCCAGUCCUCUGACUGCUAAUGAACCCCUUUUGUGACAUCUUAUUUCCCUGCUCGGCAGUUUUAUAUUAUUAUUAUUAUUAUUAUUAUUAUUUUAGAAUUAUUUUCAUGUUGCGCUGUGUUAAAACAAUAGUCGUUCUCCACGAGACAUAAAACACAUGAAUAAGUGCUUCAUAGAAAUGGGUUUGGUUAAUUUUUUUUUAUUAUUGCUACUUCGCAGAAGCGCAAAAGAUCUGACUUUGGGAAAAUAGAACAUGAUUAUUCGUGCUAAUUUAGGUGAAAAAAAAGAUUGUGUGAAUAAAUAACCUUUAUUUAAAGCAUGCUUUCAGGUAGGCUGCUGUUACGUUGUAAUGAGAGUUAAAUAAAGUUCAAAUAUGCAUCUCAAAUAUAUGAAAACCCUAUGAAAAAUAAUAUAUAUGUCAUCUUUUUUAUUAUUGUAUCAACAAGAAGCGAGUCUUGUGCUCCCCCACAGCGCAGCUCGCCUCACCUGUGCCACCUGCUCGCGUCAUGCAGGGACACCUGCAUUAGGGAGGACAUUUCACUUUUUAUGUAUCUGAAUAUACAUGACAGAAACACGAUAAUGAGCAGAAUUUAUAGUAAGAGGGUAGGAAAUUUGUUUAUUUGACAACUCAGUAUAGCAUAUAUGUGAAAAGCGUGAUGUCAAUAUGCUUAGACAAGCAAAUAAAGAGUUAUGCUGUUUUGAUUUUAUAAUGCAUCAAAUAAUAAAAAUAAGCUGUAUUUAUAUUUUUAUUCUUUAUUUGUAUGAGUUGUUGCUUUCAUGUUUUAUCAUUAAUAGUUCUGAACAAAUGUAAGCUGGUGUCUGUUAAACAGAAGAAUUUGCUAAUUAUAUUUUAUCUUAUUAGUUUUUUAUUGCAAUCCUUAAUUAAUUAAUCAUUGUAAUGUGCUUGAACCAAGGAUUUCGAAAGUAAAUUAUACAUCACAUCUAACGGAGUGUCGUGGGUAGUCUUUUACAGUGUUAUUAUUAUUAUUAUUAUUAUUAUUAUUAUUAAAUAAAAUCAUGCAGAUUAUUUUAAUUUAGUUAUUUCGUUUUAAUUUAAUCAUGUUUUGUGUGCAUACUUAUACAAUUGCUUUAUACUUUUUUAAAAACAAACAAAAAACAACAACUAGCGUUUUAUGGCAUUUGUUGGUCAUCUGUUUUGCAGAAGUGUUACUUUUGAAAGUGUGAAAAGAUCAAUAAAGAGUCUAACAUGG